UAUACUAAGCGUUUUUAUUCAUGACUUCUCUUUUUGAGUGGAAGCUUUCCCGAGCAUUCGCUUCUCCGGCCAAUGUACUUGUACACUUUUGUACAUUGUACGCUUACACAAUUUUGUUCGAAGAUUUUGAAUGAUGACUUUAAAGCAUUUCUUCGACCUGAACUGUUGAAACAAUGAAAGCCGAGAAGCGAAGGAACUCCUAAUCGGAACAUUCUCUCAUAUGAAAAAUCAAUAUCAAAUAAUGUUGAUAAUCAUCACAAUAUACUCGGGAUUUGAACAAGCUUUUAUAACGGGUGAUUACACCAAGUCAUUUAUAACAUGUCCGAUUGCUGUCAACUGGAUUGGCUUAGUGAUGAUUUGUUUUGGAGCUGUUGAUUCUAUUUGUUCGUUUAUUUUCGGACGAAUUGAAAAAUACACUGUUUUCUAUCUCAACUCUCAUUUUUCUUGUUAUUACUACCACACUACUAGUAUGGGUUCCUUACCCAACGAGUCCAGCUCCCUUCUUCAUUAUUCCAGCGUUCUGGGGAAUUGCUGAUGCAGUAUGGCGGACGCAGCUGAACGCUUUGUACGACGUACUUUUCUUUGACCGACAAGAAGAAAGUUUUUCCAAUUAUAAGUUAUGGCAAUCCAUAGGAUUUGUUGUUGCGCAACUUUGUUCCAAACAGAUCUAAAUUUGAUUAGUAUGACUUUAUUUUGUACAUAUACUUUGGAUACUAAUUAUAAACUUUCAUUUAACUAUAGUAGCUUUAUAAAUCACUUUGAUUGUAUGAAAAUGCAUUGCAGCAACAUGAUUGAGACAACUGUAGAUGUGUAUUUAUGUUUGAGGCACUGAUAACUGUAUUUUUACUAUAACCUUUAUGUGUUUCCCAUACGUUUUAAACAUAAUCGAUGUAUUAUGGUUCAAAGACUGUUAUAUUUAUCUUAUUCUCAUCUCAGUUAUUAGAAAGAAAACGGAAGAUGAAUCAAAAAUCUGCUAAUACAUCAAAAGAUAAUUCUGAAAGAAAACAGUCAUUUGACAACUUACGCCAGAUUACAGAAGACAAUGUAACAAGUUUUUGAACAAAGUCGAAAUUUCUGAAUCAAUCUUCAGUUUAAAACAUUAUGGAUCUUUGUGUAUCAACUCUAUUUACGCACGUUCUUGUUGAAACUAUGUUUACAUCAAUAUAUUAAACUUCAAUA